ensembl:lncRNA
AAGGUUAGCUGUCCCAUAUCCCUUGUGGAGGCUAAGGUAGCACAUACAAUGGCAGAGAUGGUAACCAGACAAUGGCUGACACUUUUACCAGGAGAAGUGGAUAGUGUAUCACCUUUGCUGAAAAGAGAGACCCAGGAGAAGAAAAAAGGCCUACAAAGAGAGUAGUAAUGAGAAAAAGAGCAGAAUAAUGUAGGAGCAGUUAUUAAUAACAUUAUCUGAUUUCACUAAAAUGAGAGUGCUGAAUUGAAUACAGCAUAGUGUCAACCUCACUCUGCCAUCCCUCCUGUCCCAGGACAGAUGGGCUGAGAGAAAACGCUGCUUUUACAUGACAGAACCGUGGGUUUCGAUUACAUGGUACAGACAUACUAACAGGUGUGCUAUAUAAUACUGUAAGGAGAUUCAGUUAUGUACUGUGUACAGACAAAUGACUUUACACACAUACAAUCACACAGAGUAUCUCUAAUCUCUGAUUGUUCUCUAACAGUGAUUUGUUCAGGUCUAUUCACACAGUAGUGCACACAGAAUGUUGUACUAACUGCAGUAUGUAUAGAUAUUUCAUAUUCUGCUAUAGUGCGAUCUAACAAGAGAACAUUUCAUCACAGUUUCAGUUCUCUUGAUGAAAAAUAUACAUGUGCUUUCAUGUUCUCAUAUAUGUGAGCACAUGAAAGCACUUGUAUCUGUACACACAUAAAUAGUCACUUCCUCUUCCAUUACCCACCCACACAGACCAAAAUAGGCCUCACUCUGUGUGUAGGAGCAUCACAGGUGGUUUUACUAGCUGAAGUAGAGCAGCAAAAAAAUCCCCCAGCCUUCACAUGAACGAUGUUCACUGCACCUUAUUAACUCAGUGUGUGUGUACUGUAGCUAUACACAUAAACCAUAGGCAGUGAAAUAAUUAUUGCACAACUCCUCCAUCUGACUAAGACAUGAAUAAUAAGUUAAAUGUGUACAUGUGAUGUGAAACUGUAGCAGCUACUGUUCAAAACAAGUCUUCAUCCCUCUCACAGUGUUUAAAAAGAAGAAGGGAAAGAAGAAGUGUGAGGCAGUGUGUCUGGUAAAGGGAAGUGAGAGAAGUCCAACACAACAGCUGCUACCCUUCCUGCAAAGCCGUUCCCUGACAAACCACUCUGUUUGUCUCUGGGGCAGAAGAAAAGGACCAAAGAGAGGCCACAAAAAGAGAGAGCAAAAAAGAUUGAGAGGAGAAAAGAGAGGCAAAGAAAGCCCCCUUCUGGCUCCCUCUAACCCAUACACAUCUCCCACUGCUUUGCCCAGUUUCUCACUCUCGCUUGGCAACUGAAUGCCUCACACAAAGAAUUUCAGCUUUCGGCCAAAGACAAGGCCAGAAGGAGGCCGAACCUCCAGCAGACGGCCGGUUGCCCCUGGACACCGCUGUCCAGUAAAUAGAUUCCACCGGUACAGAAAUUGGUG